rnacentral:rRNA from 1 species
GUGCCAGCAGCCGCGGUAAUACAGAGGAUGCAAGCGUUAUCCGGAAUGAUUGGGCGUAAAGCGUCUGUAGGUGGCUUUUUAAGUCCGCCGUCAAAUCCCAGGGCUCAACCCUGGACAGGCGGUGGAAACUACCAAGCUGGAGUACGGUAGGGGCAGAGGGAAUUUCCGGUGGAGCGGUGAAAUGCGUAGAGAUCGGAAAGAACACCAAGGGCGAAAGCACUCUGCUGGGCCGCCACUGACACUGAGAGACGAAAGCUUGUGGUAUCGAAUGGGAUUAGAUACCCCAGUAGUGC